GGGGAUAUAGCUCAGUUGGUAGAGGGCCUGUUUGCACUAAGGCUCUGGGUUCAACCCCCAGUACCACCA
rnacentral:tRNA from 1 species